UUUGAUCCUGGGCUCAGGAUGAACGCUGGCGGCGUGCCUAACACAUGCAAGUCGAACGGAGAUAGAUGAGAGCUUGCUUUUAUCUAUCUUAGUGGCGGACGGGUGAGUAACGCGUGGGGUAACCUACCCUGUACAGGGGGAUAGCAGCUGGAAACGGCUGAUAAAACCGCAUAAAACGGCAGUACCGCAUGGUACAACCGUCAAAUAUUUAUAGGUACAGGAUGGGCCCGCGUCUGAUUAGCCAGUUGGUGGGGUAACGGCCUACCAAGCAACGAUCAGUAGCCGGCCUGAGAGGGUGAACGGCCACAGUUGGGACUGAGACACGGCCCAAACUCCUACGGGGAGGCAGCAGGUGGGGAAUAUUGGACAAUGGGGGAACCCUGAUCCAGCGACGCCGCGUGAGUGAAGAAGUAUCUCGGUAUGUAAAGCUCUAUCAGCAGGGAAGAUGAUGACGGUACCUGACUAAGAAGCACCGGCUAAAUACGUGCC
rnacentral:rRNA from 1 species